rnacentral:rRNA from 1 species
AGUGAACGCUGGCGGUAGGCCUGACACAUGCAAGUCGAACGGCAGCACAGUAAGAGCUUGCUCUUACGGGUGGCGAGUGGCGGACGGGUGAGGAAUACAUCGGAAUCUACUUUUUCGUGGGGGAUAACGUAGGGAAACUUACGCUAAUACCGCAUACGACCUACGGGUGAAAGCAGGGGAUCUUCGGACCUUGCGCGAUUGAAUGAGCCGAUGUCGGAUUAGCUAGUUGGCGGGGUAAAGGCCCACCAAGGCGACGAUCCGUAGCUGGUCUGAGAGGAUGAUAAGCCACACUGGAACUGAGACACGGUCCAGACUCCUACGGGAGGCAGCAGUGGGGAAUAUUGGACAAUGGGCGCAAGCCUGAUCCAGCCAUACCGCGUGGGUGAAGAAGGCCUUCGGGUUGUAAAGCCCUUUUGUUGGGAAAGAAAAGCAGCAGGUUAAUACCCCGCUGUUCUGACGGUACCCAAAGAAUAAGCACCGGCUAACUUCGUG